UACGGAGGGUGCAAGCGUUAUCCGGAUUCACUGGGUUUAAAGGGUGCGUAGGCGGGCAGGUAAGUCCGUGGUGAAAUCCCCCGAGCUUAACUCGGGAACUGCCAUGGAUACUAUUUGUCUUGAAUAUUGUGGAGGUAAGCGGAAUAUGUCAUGUAGCGGUGAAAUGCUUAGAUAUGACAUAGAACACCAAUUGCGAAGGCAGCUUACUACACAGUUAUUGACGCUGAGGCACGAAAGCGUGGGGAUCAAACAGG
rnacentral:rRNA from 1 species